rnacentral:rRNA from 1 species
GUGCCAGCAGCCGCGGUAAUACGGAGGGGGCAAGCGUUGUUCGGAAUUACUGGGCGUAAAGGGCGCGUAGGCGGCUUGGUAAGUCGGUGGUGAAAUCCCGCGGCUCAACUGCGGAAUUGCCAUCGAUACUGCCGGGCUUGAAUCCGGGAGAGGUCGGCGGAAUUACUGGUGUAGCGGUGAAAUGCGUAGAUAUCAGUAGGAACACCGAUGGCGAAGGCAGCUGGCUGGACCGGAAUUGACGCUGAGGCGCGAAAGCGUGGGUAGCAAACAGGAUUAGAUACCCGCGUAGUCC